GAUGAACGCUGGCGGCGUGCCUAAUACAUGCAAGUCGAGCGAACGGACGAGAAGCUUGCUUCUCUGAUGUUAGCGGCGGACGGGUGAGUAACACGUGGAUAACCUACCUAUAAGACUGGGAUAACUUCGGGAAACCGGAGCUAAUACCGGAUGAUAUUUUGAACCGCAUGGUUCAAUAGUGAAAGACGGUCUUGCUGUCACUUAUAGAUGGAUCCGCGCUGCAUUAGCUAGUUGGUAAGGUAACGGCUUACCAAGGCAACGACGCAUAGCCGACCUGAGAGGGUGAUCGGCCACACUGGAACUGAGACACGGUCCAGACUCCUACGGGAGGCAGCAGUAGGGAAUCUUCCGCAAUGGGCGAAAGCCUGACGGAGCAACGCCGCGUGAGUGAUGAAGGUCUUCGGAUCGUAAAACUCUGUUAUUAGGGAAGAACAUAUGUGUAAGUAACUGUGCACAUCUUGACGGUACCUAAUCAGAAAGCCACGGCUAACUACGUG
rnacentral:rRNA from 1 species